rnacentral:tRNA from 1 species
GGGGCAGUAGUUCAGCUGGUCCAGAACGCCGGUCUCCAAAACCGGAGGUCCCAGGUUCGAAUCCUGGCUGCCCCG